rnacentral:rRNA from 1 species
AACGAACGCUGGCGGCAGGCCUAACACAUGCAAGUCGAACGAGAAGCUACCUUCGGGUAGUGGAUAGUGGCAGACGGGUGAGUAACGCGUGGGAACGUGCCUUUCGGUUCGGAAUAACUCAGGGAAACUUGGGCUAAUACCGGAUACGCCCUUCGGGGGAAAGAUUUAUCGCCGAAAGAUCGGCCCGCGUCAGAUUAGCUUGUUGGUGAGGUAAUGGCUCACCAAGGCGACGAUCUGUAGCUGGUCUGAGAGGAUGAUCAGCCACACUGGGACUGAGACACGGCCCAG